AGCAGCCGCGGUAAUUCCAGCUCCAAUAGCGUAUAUUAAAGUUGUUGCAGUUAAAAAGCUCGUAGUUGAAUUUCGGGAUCAAAUUGUCGGUCGUGCCUCGGUACGAACUGGUAUUAUUGGUUCCUACCUUCUGAAGAACCGCGAUGUCAUUAAUUUGGUGUCGUGGGGAAUCAGGACUGUUACUUUGAAAAAAUUAGAGUGUUUAAAGCAGGCUUACGCUUGAAUACAUUAGCAUGGAAUAAUGAAAUAGGACGUUUGAUUCUAUUUUGUUGGUUUCUAGGAUUGACGUAAUGAUUAAUAGGGAUAGUUGGGGGCAUUAGUAUUCAAUUGUCAGAGGUGAAAUUCUUGGAUUUAUUGAAGACUAACUACUGCGAAAGCAUUUGCCAAGGAUGUUUUCAUUAAUCAAGAACGAAAGUUAGGGGAUCGAAGACGAUCAGAUACCGUCGUAGUCUUAACCAUAAACUAUGCCGACUAGGGAUCGGAUGAUGUUAAUUUUUAAUGACUCAUU
rnacentral:rRNA from 1 species